AUGAAUACCACAGCUUUGCUGAGUUCAACAUCUUCUUGGUCACCCACACAUACGAGGUUACUCACUAUACACAGUGCCCAUUCAACACAAGCCAAGUUCAUUCCAUCUCUGAAUGCUGUGAAAAGAAGGUAGAAAACUCCAAAGGAUGGAAGGUUAAAUACAAGGAAAGAGUAGUUUAUGGGUUACAGUACACUUUAGUGAGAACCUAAAAGAUGAAGUAAUGACCAAAAAGAAAAUCCAGGAGACCUAAGAAGUACACAAAGAACAUCUCUGAGGUGAUGUCUUUAAAAGGCAUCAAACUAUGAUAGUCAUCACUCAUGAAGUAAAGGCUCUUCCUGAAGGCUCUGUCAUCUCCAAGGAAACACUCCGUGCACAGUGGAAGACAUGGCUGCAGUGUGCUUCACUCUGGGAGAAAACCUAAGACAUUUAAUAGUAUCAAGAAGUACAGAGGCACCACUACUUAUCAGGCCUGGUUCUGGGAAUCCUCUAACUCUGUGUUAAAGGUUUUGGAUAGUUUAGGUGAGAAGUUUUCUGUCAUUAGGAACUUACAGGUCUACAAGUUGCAGACACGUUAUCUUGAGUUAUUCAAGGAAUAGACAAUAACUCACAAGCAUAGGGUGCCUAUAAUCUUGUCUAGUGGCCUGUGGCAGAAUGCUUGGGUAAGCAAAUCUCCUACACUGUACAGAGUCUUCCUAGAGGACACCAGGAUAACAGUACAACUGGUAUCUGAUGGACACAUCAAAUGAUCUUUUCCAUGUCUCAGGCACUGCCUAGCAAGAUGAAUAGUAGUGGGGUAGGGGCAAAGAGAGGAGGCAGCUCAGAUGGAAGAGUGAAGGCUGAAGAGGGAGGAAGGCACUGGAAGCGUGCUAGCAGGAACCAGUAAGGCAGUGCAGAACAAAGAUCUUCCUGAGGUAUGAACUCUUAACUCAGUUGCCUCGUGACUUUAAGGAACUUACUUAAGCCUCCAUUUCCUCAUCUGUGAAAGGAAAUAACAGCCCAUCUUGGGACUGACAAGGAAUUUUAUGAGAAAAUAACACAUGAAAAUACAUUUGCCUGCUUCAUGGCUGUGGCUACAGUUAGCUCUGUUGUUUAUGUUUAUAAACACCAGGACUCUGAGAACCCACUGUGUCACUGGGCCGGUGUACACAGAUGUAUUUCCACAUUACAAAAAACAAAACAAAAACCAAACCACUUCUAAUAUGAUGCAUAAUUAAAAGGGGUAUAACUACAAUGAUCAUUUCCCCUUGAAGUAAAGGCUGUCCUUAAGGGCUCUGCCAUCCCCAAGGAAACAAAGUGCAAAACAGCCCCAGAGUGCUACUUGCUUAUAUGUUGAAUUAGCACUUAUACACUGAAUUGAGACUACCCA
rnacentral:lncRNA from 1 species